ACUGCCAAUAUUUGUAAUUUCUUCACAAAGAAAUCUGAUCCCGGAAACGUACAUUGUUUAGAUGUUAAUACAUGCACUGGCUGCGUGGAGCAGCUGUACAAGGUUUUGAGUAUUCCCAUGAAAACUGCCAGGAGCCUGCAUGCUUCACAAGGAGCAAUGCUGAAUAACUCUUGCUCGACUGACUGAAGUGAUUUCUUCUAUUCCAUACACGCAGGCUUGCAGACACACUUUUGAACUGUAAUGUAAGCAAAAACUUCUGAUUCCUAAAACCCGCCACAAAACAAAGCCAGCACAAAAGCAAGUUCUCAGUAACUUUUGCUUCACCAUCCUUUAACUCAUGAAAGCAGAACUGUAACAAACACCACUGUGUUUCUACUUGUUGCAUCAUGGAAAUGCCUUCAGCACUGGAAAGCAAGAGAAAAGGCAGCCUGGAAGAGAGAUGCUAUGGAUAUGAUACACCAGGAAAACUUGAGAGUUCAUUUAGGCCAUGAUUUAAAUAUCAGAAAAGUCAUUAGGGCUCUCCAUUGACUUUUCUCGGUCUUUUCAGCAUGUGCAUCUGAAGUGACAUUUGCCUUUCCUUCCUAGCCAAAUACACAGUGCAGUUGGACUGUAUAGGUUAAAUGAUUAAUCUUUUUUUUUUUUUUUUUUUUUAAUUUACUAAAGGUGAUGACAGUGAAAUGUUAAUAUUAAUAAAUCAUUAAAUAU
rnacentral:lncRNA from 7 species